CUACGGGUGGCUGCAGUUACGAAACCUUUACAAUGCACGAAAGUGUGAUAAGGGAACUCCAAGUGAUUAUGCGCGAGCAUAAUCUUUUGUUAAGUGUAAAUAGCUUAGCGAAUAAGGACUGGGCAAGACCCGUGCCAGCCGCCGCGGUAAUACGGGCAGUUCUAGUGGUAUUCGUGAAUAUUGGGCUUAAAGCGUCCGUAGCUGGUUUAGCAAGUCUUUUGUGAAAUCUCAUUGCUCAACUUUGAGAAGUGCAGAAGAAACUGCUGGACUUGGAGGCGGGAGAGGUCAGGGGUACUCAUGGAGUAGCGGUUGAAUGCAAUAAUCCUAUGGGGACCACCGGUAGCGAAGGCGCCUGACUAGAACGCACUCGACAGUGAGGGACGAAGGCCAGGGGAGCGACAGGGAUUAGAUACCCUAGUAGUC
rnacentral:rRNA from 1 species